GACGAACGCUGGCGGCGUGCUUAACACAUGCAAGUCGAACGAAGUGGCGAACGGGUGAGUAACGCGUAAUCAACCUGCCCUUCAGAGGGGGACAACAGUUGGAAACGACUGCUAAUAACGCAUACUGAAGGAGGGGAUUGCGUCUGAUUAGCUAGUUGGAGGGGUAACGGCCCACCAAGGCGAUGAGCAGUAGCCGGUAGGAGAGAGUGAGCGGCCACAUUGGAACUGAGACACGUCCGAGACUCCUACGGGAGGCAGCAGUGGGGAAUCUGCCGAAAUGGACGAAAGUCUGACGGAGCAAAGCCGCGUGAGUGAGGACGGCCUGCGGGUUGUAAAGCUCUGUUAAUCGGGACGCGGUACCGGAAUAGAAAGCCACGGCUAACUACGUGCCAGCAGCCGCGGUAAUUC
rnacentral:rRNA from 1 species